AGUAGUUUGAUCAGUGGCUCGAGGACGAACGCUGGCGGCGUGCUUAACACAUGCAAGUCGAACGAGGUGAUUGAAAGCUUGCUUUUGAGAACCGAGUGGCAAACGGGUGAGUAACGCGUAGACAACCUGCCGCAAAGAUGGGGACAACAGUCCGAAAGGACUGCUAAUACCGAAUGUUGUAUCGUUUCCGCAUGGAGAUGAUAUUAAAGAUGGCCUCUACUUGUAAGCUAUCGCUUUGCGAUGGGUCUGCGUCUGAUUAGCUAGUUGGUGGGGUAACGGCCUACCAAGGCGACGAUCAGUAGCCGGUCUGAGAGGAUGAACGGCCACAUUGGAACUGAGACACGGUCCAGACUCC
rnacentral:rRNA from 1 species